rnacentral:rRNA from 1 species
AGAGUUUGAUCCUGGCUCAGGAUGAACGCUAGCUACAGGCUUAACACAUGCAAGUCGAGGGGCAGCAUGGUCUUAGCUUGCUAAGGCUGAUGGCGACCGGCGCACGGGUGAGUAACACGUAUCCAACCUGCCGUCUACUCUUGGACAGCCUUCUGAAAGGAAGAUUAAUACAAGAUGGCAUCAUGAGUCCGCAUGUUCACAUGAUUAAAGGUAUUCCGGUAGACGAUGGGGAUGCGUUCCAUUAGAUAGUAGGCGGGGUAACGGCCCACCUAGUCUUCGAUGGAUAGGGGUUCUGAGAGGAAGGUCCCCCACAUUGGAACUGAGACACGGUCCAAACUCCUACGGGAGGCAGCAGUGAGGAAUAUUGGUCAAUGGACGAGAGUCUGAACCAGCCAAGUAGCGUGAAGGAUGACUGCCCUAUGGGUUGUAAACUUCUUUUAUAAAGGAAUAAAGUCGGGUAUGCAUACCCGUUUGCAUGUACUUUAUGAAUAAGGAUCGGCUAACUCCGUGCCAGCAGCCGCGGUAAUACGGAGGAUCCGAGCGUUAUCCGGAUUUAUUGGGUUUAAAGGGAGCGUAGAUGGAUGUUUAAGUCAGUUGUGAAAGUUUGCGGCUCAACCGUAAAAUUGCAGUUGAUACUGGAUGUCUUGAGUGCAGUUGAGGCAGGCGGAAUUCGUGGUGUAGCGGUGAAAUGCUUAGAUAUCACGAAGAACUCCGAUUGCGAAGGCAGCCUGCUAAGCUGCAACUGACAUUGAGGCUCGAAAGUGUGGGUAUCAAACAGGAUUAGAUACCCUGGUAGUCCACACGGUAAACGAUGAAUACUCGCUGUUUGCGAUAUACGGCAAGCGGCCAAGCGAAAGCGUUAAGUAUUCCACCUGGGGAGUACGCCGGCAACGGUGAAACUCAAAGGAAUUGACGGGGGCCC